UUCACAGGCUCCGACACACAUAAAUUAUAUGAAAAAUAAGAUGUAAACUUAUGAUCAGGAUAAAAUCC